rnacentral:rRNA from 1 species
UACGUAGGGUGCAAGCGUUGUCCGGAAUUAUUGGGCGUAAAGAGCUCGUAGGCGGCUUGUCGCGUCGUUCGUGAAAACCCACAGCUCAACUGUGGGCUUGCGGUCGAUACAGGCAGGCUGGAGUUCGGUAGGGGAGACUGGAAUUCCUGGUGUAGCGGUGAAAUGCGCAGAUAUCAGGAGGAACACCGGUGGCGAAGGCGGGUCUCUGGGCCGAUACUGACGCUGAGGAGCGAAAGCGUGGGGAGCGAACAGG